GUACCCAUGUUUUGACUCGUACAAAUUGGCAAUAAACACAUACGACAAGGGUAAAAGUCGGGGUUGGGUUUCCAUGGAUCAUGACUCCGGACCGCACCUGGUAGCUAACAUACAUACUGUGGUACCUCUGUAAGACGAACCAGUGUCUUGAUACUGGAAGUGCGUACAGGUUCAAUAGAAUGGAUCUUCAUUCACCGGAGAAAUUUGGACAUGGUAGUUAACUAUCCCAAAAAUUAGACGGCUUAUAACGAGGACGCGCUCUAUGAUCGUCAUAAUGCAAUAACUCUUAUAUGACCCAAAAGUUACUGCUCCAUCUGAGUCUCGCUGAAGAGAAAGUAAUGACCGAAUCCGUUGUUUUUUGCUGCAAAUCCAUCACCCUUUCCCCAGAAGUAGGGACCGGGGUCUCAUUUAGCGAUGCAGUUUGACUGUUGGUUGGUUGGUUUCGCCUGUCGGGAUUCGACAUUCUAAGUUCCAACUCUAAUCGUCCCGAUAUAGGGUAUACAAGCUCAUAAUUAACAUAAUUAAGUCCGAAGAAAAUUGACACGGACCAAUUGCUUCUCCUUGCCACCCUGGAAGAAGAAGAGGUCACUGCGUCGCAUUUUGAAGAAUUUAAUCCCGAGCUGGGUCCUCUCUGCCAGUCCACCAACAUGUGCGUGUUGGUUCAAGGGAUCGAUUUCUUGAGGAAAUCAUCCUCUGUAGAGUCGGGUUGUUUCCCCAUCACAACCUCAUGAGCAACUAAUGCAUCAUGCAGAACCGGUUCACUUGCUAGAUGCAUAUGUCAUUUUCAGUCCACUCCUCUCUAGAACCUCGCAAUGAGUGGGCAAACUUCCACUAUGCCGCAUGACGGCUGAAGCUAACCAACUUUCUCUCAUAUUGGGCUAGUCGCACGACCCAGAGUGGAUCGCGACGACGAAAAGAGUUGU
rnacentral:lncRNA from 1 species